rnacentral:rRNA from 1 species
UACGUAGGUGGCAAGCGUUGUCCGGAUUUAUUGGGUUUAAAGGGUGCGUAGGCGGUCUAUUAAGUCAGUGCUGAAAUAUCCCGGCUUAACCGGGAGGGUGGCAUUGAUACUGAUGGACUUGAGUGCAGUCGAGGUAGGCGGAAUUGACGGUGUAGCGGUGAAAUGCUUAGAUAUCGUCAAGAACACCGAUAGUGAAGACAGCUUACUAGACUGUAACUGACGCUGAGGCACGAAAAGUGUGGGGAUCAAAACAGG